CGGACGAACGCUGGCGGCGUGCCUAACACAUGCAAGUCGAACGAAGAAUGUUUUUCGGAAUAUUCUUAGUGGCGGACGGGUGAGUAACGCGUGAACAAUCUGCCCCGUACAAAGGGAUAGCCUCGGGAAACCGGGAUUAAAACCAUAUAACGCUUUAGUACCGCAUGGUAAUAAAGUCAAAUCGAUUAAGAGGUAUGGGAUGAGUUCGCGUCUGAUUAGCUAGUUGGUGAGGUAAGGGCUCACCAAGGCGACGAUCAGUAGCCGGCCUGAGAGGGUGAACGGCCACACUGGAACUGAGACACGGUCCAGACUCCUACGGGAGGCAGCAGUGGGGAAUAUUGCACAAUGGAGGGAACUCUGAUGCAGCGACGCCGCGUGAGUGAAGAAGGUCUUCGGAUCGUAAAACUCUGUCCUUGGUGAAGAAAAGGACGGUAGCCAAGGAGGAAGCCCCGGCUAACUACGUG
rnacentral:rRNA from 1 species